AGUAAAUGCGUCCUAAUGGGCAGGCGAGCUAGGCUGGCCCCAACAAAUCAUUCCUAAUGAAUAGUACCUGGCACAUCCAUCACCCUUAAAUGCCAAAGCAAAUCCAUCUGCGUUAGCCGCUGAAAAGAGCCAGGCGGAUCUCGCCCUCCCUUUCUUCCCAAGGUAGGGGAGGCUUUGGCUCGCAACACGUGAGCGUGGCUGUUUCCAAUCUUUCCCCAUUCCUGCAGUCAGCAUCUCCAAGGCGCAUUUCUCAAUUGCCGGGCUGCUCCCGCACACAAUGCCGAGAGCGCUCUGGCAGCCGCAUGAAAGGCUUUAAAUAGAAACCAGCGUUUCUCCCUCGCGCUGCACACAAUGCUUCCCUGACCCUUCGCCGACCUCACCCUCAAAUCUGGGGUUCACAGCCCCAGCCUUGAACCCGGCUCUGUUUUUUCAUGUUUGGCCUCUCUAUUUCCUGAGGAAGGUCCGGAGGAAGAAAGUUCAUGGAGCAGGAAGCUGAGGGAGCCAGCCCGGCAUCCCCGCGGGGCGAGGCGCUCUCACCUUGCGGAACGCGGGGAUUGCGACACCCGAGCGAAGAGGUAGAAUUUAUAUCCCAUAAAUCACGUGUCAAGUGCCUGCGAGGAGAGGUCAUUAAACAGAUGUAUGAGGCAAGAGGCAAAGUCCAUCCAUUUCAGAAGACGCUCCCAGUGUCAGCAGCUCUCCAGAAGUCUCGAGAGGCAGAGGGAUCCAACCGGCACGGCAGCAGCUUCCCCGAUGCUCCCUUAUUUAUUUCCUCCUCUAUUUAUUCGAUGGGAUUUUCUCUAUUGGAAGAAGUUCCCGGGCUUUGCUCUGUCCCCUGUCGCAGCUGCCCAGUGCGGGGGCUGUGGGAGGGGAGGGCGGAGGGUGGCACAUCAAACAGCUCGGGAGGGAUGGAGUGAUGGAUGGAGGCUGCCCUGGGAUUAAUAAUCAAACCAAGAGCUUUUACUGGGCGUCAUGUGGAAAAUGUGGCUUUGGAAACAUUUGUCUUCAUCCCACAAACAACAAGUGGUGUUUCUUUCCCUUUCUUUGUUUCUCUCCCCCCCUUCUUCCUCCCCCUUUCCUCCCUUCCUCUCCCUCUUUUUGCUUUUCUUGCCCAGAAUCACUGAUUAAAAUCUUUUCCAUGCUUUACCUGCUCCAA